CGGUAAUACGUAGGUGGCAAGCGUUGUCCGGAUUUAUUGGGCGUAAAGCGCGCGCAGGUGGUUUCUUAAGUCUGAUGUGAAAGCCCACGGCUCAACCGUGGAGGGUCAUUGGAAACUGGGAGACUUGAGUGCAGAAGAGGAAAGUGGAAUUCCAAGUGUAGCGGUGAAAUGCGUAGAGAUUUGGAGGAACACCAGUGGCGAAGGCGACUUUCUGGUCUGUAACUGACACUGAGGCGCGAAAGCGUGGGGAGCAAACAGGAUUA
rnacentral:rRNA from 1 species